GAGGCUUUAUCUUAAUUAAAGUAUUUGACUUGCAUUCAAAAGAUGAAGAUUAAAGGUCUUCAAGUCUUA
rnacentral:tRNA from 1 species